rnacentral:rRNA from 1 species
UGGGGAAUAUUGCACAAUGGGCGCAAGCCUGAUGCAGCCAUGCCGCGUGUAUGAAGAAGGCCUUCGGGUUGUAAAGUACUUUCAGUCGGGAGGAAGGUGUCAAGGUUAAUAACCUUGGCAAUUGACGUUACCGACAGAAGAAGCACCGGCUAACUCCGUGCCAGCAGCCGCGGUAAUACGGAGGGUGCAAGCGUUAAUCGGAAUUACUGGGCGUAAAGCGCACGCAGGCGGUUGAUUGAGUCAGAUGUGAAAUCCCCGGGCUUAACCCGGGAAUUGCAACUGAUACUGGUCAGCUAGAGUCUUGUAGAGGGGGGUAGAAUUCCAUGUGUAGCGGUGAAAUACGUAGAGAUGUGGAGGAAUACCGGUGGCGAAAGCGGCCCCCUGGACAAAGACUGACGCUCAGGUGCGAAAGCGUGGGGAGCAAACAGG